UCGAUACUAAUGGGUGACCUUUAGUACCGGUUGGAGCCCCCUACCGGUACUAACUUCACUCCAUAAAUCAGGCGUCUUCCUCCUCCUAAUCCUCCUCCUGCACGAGCCAUUUCCUCCAGCUCUGGCUUCAUCCAUUCAUGGCGAAAUAGGGGAGGUGCUUGCCAGAUUUUGGACCAUUUCGUGGGGAUUUCACUUCAUUCAAGUGUUUUAAAGGUUAGAAACUUCAUCCUCACUUAACACAUGGUUAGUGUACUAAGUUUUAUGCUUUAGAGCUAGAGUAUUUUUUUAUUUUUAGAAUAAUGUACAAUGGAAUUUUUUUCAUUUAUAUGCAUGUGUUAUUUAGAGCAUAUUUGUGAUUUUUAGAAUAAGCUACAAUUUUUUGGAUACUAUGUUUUGUAUUAGUCAAAGUGAUAUGAGGUUAGAGCAAUAAUUUCAUAGUUUAAUCCUUUACAAAUAUGAGCUAAAUAAGUUAUGAGGAAAAAUAUAAUUAGUUCAUAUUUUAAUGAUUUGCAAAUAUAAGCGAGAUAAAUUAUGCUACAUAGAGAUAAUAAUAUGAAAAAGAGGUUGGAAUUAGUAAUUUUUAGAAUAAGCUACAAUGGAGAAAAAUUUCAUUUAUAUGUUAUGUUUGAGCUAAAUAAAUUAUGGAAAAAAAUAUAAUUUAUUCAUAGUUUAGUCAUUUGCAAAUAUGAGCUAAAUAAAUUAUGGUACAUAGAGAUGGAUACUGCUGCUGGAGGUAGUGGUGAUGGUGGGGGCGAUCGUCGUUCCUCUCGCGGCAAGGGGAAACCAUAGUUGGCCCUUAUGAUAAGCUGAAGAAAAUGAGCACGUGGAAGAGAGUAAUGCUUCGUUAUUUGGAAAUAUGUCAUGGAAAUGCUGUUGCGGCGGGUUAGAAAUCUUCUUUGGGUGGUCGUUAUACUCCACCGUCAGUUUUGGGUGUUUCAAGUCCACUGAGUACUACAGUAGCAGGAGGCACAAAUAAACCACAGGAUGAAGCUGGAUCAGCGAAACCUUCGUCUUCGCCACCCAAAGAUGCUUAAAGUCCUCCUAGAUAGUACUCAGUGGAUGGUUUGUCGUAGUGUAUCAUAUUGUUUGGGUCUAAAAUUUAAAUUUGUAUAUUUCUAUCUAAAUUUUCAGCAACAUUUGAGUUUGUUGUAGUGUAUCAUGUUGUUUGGGU
rnacentral:lncRNA from 1 species